CUGGAAACCUGCGCUAUAAGUCUCGGGGCUACCUGAGGACAUUCUGAGCUCUGGAUUGGUGGAAGCUGGUGCUCUAAGUCAAUACAUUCCCAAGGUUUUACCUGGCCGCUGAAAAGGUUAUGUUGGGUCAGGUACACAAGAUCCCCCUCAUCCCUCCUCUCCAGUUUAGCUCUUCUUAUCAGUUACUGGAUGGCUGUCAUCAUUGGGAUCAGCAAGAGAUCUUCAGCAGAAAACGUGUUGUGUCGCAUGCCUUCCCGCUUCAAGAGAUAGCCGACACCUUUCCUGGACCUACUCUUUGUGGUCAUUCCCUGGCUUCUGUGAAUCCUUAGUGGGGAGCAAGCUCUGAGACCAGCCGACCUGACAGAGGAGAGGGGCGGAAGGAGCAGAAGCUGAACUUCAUGUCUCGGAGCCUUUGUUUACUCAGAAGUGUCACCGGGUGGUGGUGGCGCAUGCCUUUAAUCCCAGCACUCAGGAGGCCGAGGCAGGCUGAUCUCUGUGAGUUCAAGGCCAGCCUGGUCUCCAGAGCGAGUUCCAGGAAAGGUGCAAAGCUACACAGAGAAACCCUGUCUGGAAAAACAAAAACAAAACAAACAAACAAACAGAAGUGUCAUCCUCUCAUGGAGUGACUGUGAGCAUUAGAUGAGCUUAUGUCAUCAGAAAGCACUUAGAUCAUUCCAGGUACACUGUAGAGGGAUUAAGUGAAUUUGUUAGAAUUGGAUUUGUUUUGUCCCACAAAAAAGAGGAAGUUGGGGCUGGGGUGGUGCCACAUACCUAUAAUCCUGGCACUUGGGAGGCGGAGGCAGGAAGGUUAGUUCCAGGCUAGCUUUAGCUACUAGCAAGUUUGGAGCUAGAUGAGAUAGUCGCAAAAGAAAAAACAAAUGGACUUCCAUGUGGUUCCAACAGUGGAGUCUGUAAGUGCCGGUGCAUAGCAACGGUUGCCAUGUGAUCUGUGUGGAUGUUGGCUUUCAUGUUUUGCACAUACUCCGAGUUCACUGAAGUGGCCAGUGGCUCCAACCCCCAACCCCCAGUGUUAGAAUUGGGAUCCUUGGUUCAUUUCCUCCCUAAUAGGUGUAGAAAGGCUUGAGGGAAUUGGAGAGGUUCUCCCAGAGGACUGACUCAGGGUCUCCCUGGCUGUGACUGUAAUCCCUCAUGCCUCCUUCCUGGUGGAGUCUGGAAUGCUCUGCCCACUGAGAGUCAGGGCCAUGGCAGAAGGAAUUUCCAGCCGCUGGAUAAACUGUUCUGCAGACUGACCUGACCUCUGUCUCUCUCUGGAGACCUUCCUCUCACCUCCUUAUAACUGACCUUCUGAGUUCUGACUGAGGAGAGAUGGGGGAAGCCAUUACCAUGUUAGCUCUCGUGGUUUCUGUCACUCCUUGGCUCAAAAACUCUCCUCUCAUUUGGAUUGUUUUCUUGACUGGGGGAGGGAGAGAGGUUAAGCCCAAGAUCCUGAGGAAGUACUGGGGACUUUUUACUUCUGGCUUUCCUCCUUUCUCCAAGAAUAGGUCCUGUCUCAGAACAAGCCAUCCACAAAGUCAAAUGACAAGUGACACAUAAGGAGGAGACGCCUGCCCGUGCAUCCUGGAAAUUGAGAAGAAAAAGGGCAAACCCUGAGGAAAGUCUCUGUGAACACAUGCACAGUUACAUCGAAGGAAGCCGAGGCAGGAACUCAAGGAAGGAGUUGAAGUAGAAACUACUACUUACUACCUCUGGCUUGUUCAGCUGCCUUUCUUACACAGCCCCGACCCUCCUGCCUAGGACUGGAACCACUGAAAUGAGCUGGGACCUCCUGCAUCACUUAGCAAUUAAGAAAAUGCCUCGCAGACAUGCCACAGGUCAAACUGAUCAGCACAGUCCUUCUGCUGAGGUUCCCUUUCCCAAAAUGACUCUAAGUUUAUGUCAAAUUGGCAGCUAGAGGUAAAUAUGAUAGAAGGCUUUUGGUUAUCCCUUAUUAAAUUCGUACUAAAAUCUUUCACCAGUUUUGAGUUAUUUCUCUCUUAUUGACUUUAAAAUAUAUUUAGGACUACUGUGUCAGCUAUAUG